rnacentral:rRNA from 1 species
UACAGGAGGGGGCAAGCGUCAUUCGGAAUUGAUUGGGCGUAAAGGGCGCGUAGGCGGCCUGGCAAGUGGAAGGUGAAAUCCCUCGGCUUAACCGAGGAACUGCCCUCCAAACUGCUUGGCUUGAGUCCGGGAGAGGUGAGUGGAAUUCCCAGUGUAGCGGUGAAAUGCGUAGAUAUUGGGAGGAACACCAGUGGCGAAGGCGGCUCACUGGACCGGAACUGACGCUGAGGCGCGAAAGCGUGGGGAGCAAACGGG